AGUUCAGGGACGCUAUUUUGCUUUUGCCAAAAAAAAAAACCCCCGCGGCGCGCAGUUAGGAGAGAGAGCCCCGCUGUCGUCUCGCUCGUCGCCGGCUCGGGCGCGUGCUCCAACGCAUAUCGACGAGCAGCGCGAGCGUUGUCGGAGGCGAUGCGGCUCGGCGACGGAGGCACGGAUCCGCUGCGCGUGCUCGCGGAAAUCCUUUGCCGCCGAGGGUUCGCGCCAUCCUACAAUAAAAUCCCCUCAUCCCUCCCCUCCGCGCGCCUGUCCAGCAUGGUUUCUCUGGCCACCAUGUCGCGGCGCGUGGAUCAGGCGAUGGCGGCGACGGCGGCGUACUCGCGAAAGGCCCAGGGGCAUCUGCGGUGGCGGACUCGCGGCGCCAGGGGUGAUCUGCUGCGGAAGGCCCAGGAGGCCAAGGCGGCGGCUCCGGCUGCGAGAGGAUGAUUCCUCCGAGCCUCACAGAUCAGGGAGGACGGAUCCACGGAAGCGCAGGUGAGGACGUCCCCACCUCGGCUACCGCCCAUCGCUCACCGGGUGCUAUGCUAGGUUCGUUCCUCGAUCCCCCCUCCCCUGUCGCCAAUUUGUGUUCAGUGUUGAGGUUGGUCAUUCCUGGUAAUUCAGAUUAGGUUCGUGUGUUUUUACCCUAAUUUGUAGAUAUAGGAUUGCAAUUCUCUAAUUUGGGGUUGUCCGCUUGAAUUCCUGUUAUUAGGAUUGCAUUUAUCAUUGGAAUGCGACUUUAAUUGGAGGGAUUUGACUAGAGUCUGCAGUUCGUAAAUUGUAAGGGUACUCAAUCCAUCGCUAGGUCAUCUUGUGAUGUAUCAUUCUGGCAAUGGUUGAGGCCUAAUAGCAAUAGAUGCAGCCUGCAGAAAACCCUUUGUACUUGAGGUGUAAUAUUAACCCAUCUUUGAUCAUUUGGUGGCCCUGUCAUGUUUCUGCAAUCAUGAUGGUGGGGAGAAGAGGCACAUGCAUAUAAUCGUUCAUCUGAUCAUUUUUGGACGAUAAUGCUAGGAAUGGUGAGGUCAUAGUUAACUGAAGGGUCAACUUGUGUAUUGCACUGAGGCAUAAAUCAGUAUUCUAUUUUUCUUGCAAAUGUAUUUUAAUUGUUGUUAGUGGUGGUAUUACAGACUAACAUGGACUUAUUUCUUUCGGGUUUCAUCUCUAGCCUACCCCGACUUGCUUGGGGAAAAAAAGGCUAUGUUGUUGUUAUUGUUUGCUCAGAGAUCAGAGCUCCUUCCAGAUAAAACAAUCUAGAAUGAGGAGUUAAAACUAGUACUGUCACCACAGAUGAUUAGAUCGAAUAGUACAAAUGACAGUAUGCAGGCAUCCAGAAGGUUGGCCCUAAGAACUACUUGCCGGAGAUGGCACAUGUUAUGUGAAAACCGUACCCAAAAUAUCCUGAAAAUGCUAUCUAUAUAUGCCAUCCACCCAAAAUAUAAUUGAACAUAUUCAGAAAACUGUACAUGUGGAUCUUUUUCAUUAGACCGUCAUUUCAAUGAAUACAAUUGAACAUGUUCAGAAAGGAGGAACAUUGUCUAUUGCUAUAACAUUUACAUCAUUUUUGUUUUGGUUCAUUCAGAAAAGAGGAACAUUGGAGCCUAUUGAGUCGAGUAUAUAUGUAUCUCUUAAUUCAAAUA